CAAUUUUUCCACUUAUUCAGAUUUAAUCUGAUACGAUGAGGAAAUAAAAGAAAAACUUUCCCUCAACGUUUCUUCAUAUGAAUCGGGACAAAGAAUCUAGAAAAUUCAUUUGGAGAUGGCGUAACCGCUUAUAAAAUAUUCUACGUUUACGGAACACACUUGCUAUAAACUAGAAAAAAUCUUCGUAUCUAAAUUCCAUUUGCUCAUUUAAAAAUAAUUAUAAACAAGAGAAAAAUCAAGACGGUAUGGCCGGUCGACCAAAAACUGUGAUAUGUUAUAUAUGUGGCCGGGAAUUUGGUACACACUCUAUCGAUAUCCACGAACCACAAUGUUUAAAAAAAUGGAAAUUAGAAAACAGUCAGUUACCAAAAAAGGAACGUAGACCCUUGCCAGUCAAACCACAAAUAGUGCCGUUGAGUGGCAAAGACCAAUAUGAUAUUGACAUACGAAAUCAAGCUGCUUGGGAAAGUAGCCAGGCAGCUUUGGUUCCCUGUAACAUUUGUGGAAGAACAUUCUUACCAGACAGACUUGUAGUACAUCAGAGAAGUUGCAGACCC